AUACGGUCAAGCUACGAAGGGCGCACGGUGGAUGCCUAGGCGUUGAGAGGCGAUGAAGGACGUGGACAGCUGCGAAAAGCCUCGGGGAGCUGCUAACAAGCUUUGAUCCGGGGAUUUCCGAAUCGGGAAACCGUCUGGGGUUAUACCCAGGGGCCUCCCGCUGAAUACAUAGGCGGUAUGGUGGCCAACCCAGGGAACUGAAACAUCUAAGUACCUGGUGGAAAAGAAAUCAAAUAGAGACUUCCCUAGUAGCGGCGAGCGAACGGGAAUCAGCCUAAACCAUGACAGUGUAAGCCAAGGGGCGUUGCUGUCAUGGGGUCGUGGGACGUUCUUGGAGGUACCCUUGCCCUCCACGAAGUUACAAAAUCAUUCGCUAGUGGAACGGCAUGGAAAGGCCGGCCAUAGAAGGUGACAGCCCUGUACGCGAAAGUGAAUGAUCUUCGGGAAUGUUCCCGAGUACCGCAGGACACGUGAAAUCCGGCGGGAAUCUGGGAGGACCAUCUUCCAAGGCUAAGUACUACUCGAUGACCGAUAGUGAACAAGUACCGUGAGGGAAAGGUGAAAAGCACCCCGGCUAGGGGAGUGAAAUAGUACCUGAAACCGUGCGUCUACAAGCAGUGGAAGCACUAUGCCCUUCGGGGAAUGUGCGACCGCGUACCUUUUGCAUAAUGGGCCUGCGAGNNNNNAGAGGUGUAGCCGGAGCGAAAGCGAGUUCGAAUAGAGCGAAUUAGUGGCAUGGGGUAGACCCGAAACCGGGUGAUCUAUCCAUGGGCAGGUUGAAGCGCGGGUAAAACCGCGUGGAGGACCGAACCCACUGAAGUUGAAAAUUCAGGGGAUGACCUGUGGAUAGGAGUGAAAGGCUAAUCAAACCCGGAGAUAGCUGGUUCUCCCCGAAAUAUAUUUAGGUAUAGCCUCGUAUGAAUUGCGCCGGAGGUAGAGCACUGAAUGGGCUAGGGGUCCUACCAGAUUACCAAACCCAAUCAAACUCCGAAUGCCGGUAACGUCUGUACGGGAGUCAGGCUGCGGGUGAU
rnacentral:rRNA from 2 species